CGAUUAGCGCGUUUCUCGCGAGAUACUGUCGAGGCAAGGAGCUUUUGGAACGCACCACGACCUCCUCCGCUAUAAAUAAAACGUGUCGGCGGCCACAACGAGAAUUCUGCCAGCAGCAGCUUCGUAUUCGUAAGAUUGUACCGCUCGCCACACCUCGAAAGAUUACCGGUUUUGGAUCUCUCUCACUAUAACCAGAUUUAAGAAAGAUCGAAGAAAAACAUUAUGUAUAGCGUGCGUGAGAGCGCAUUAAUUGAAGGAUGGCUGACGCACAUCUGCGUUCUACCUCGUGCGUGAUACAAAGUAAGCGCCAAAAGAAUAUCGAAGACACGGAACGGAACGAAACGAAACGAAAAGGAGAAGGAAGGACGGAAGGAAGGAACGAAGGAAGGAAGGAAGGAAGGAAGGAAGGAAGGAAGGAAGAAAGAAAGGAAGGAAGGAAGACGACUGUGAACGACGCAAGUCGACUCGACUCGACGUUCGCAGCUGCAGGUACCGAAAAGCCAGUGCAACGGUUUCAAUUGUCUGCAACAUGGCUGCCGCUGCUCGACUAGGUCUCAUAGUCGUUAUCCUUGAAAGACCCGUGUGCUGCACCUCUUUCGUUUUGUUUUAACGCACGAAGCACACAACGGAGGAGUGCGCACGCGCGUGCAUGCCAGAGAGUUAGA